GAAAUGCGAUAAGUAAUGUGAAUUGUAGAAUUCAGUGAAUCAUCGAAUCUUUGAACGCACAUUGCGCCCGCCAGUAUUCUGGCGGGCAUGCCUGUUCGAGCGUCAUUUCAACCAUCAAGCCCCGGGCUUGUGUUGGGGACCUGCGGCUGCCGCAGGCCCUGAAAACCAGUGGCGGGCUCGCUGUCACACCGAGCGUAGUAGAUUCUCAUCUCGCUCAGGGCGUGCUGCGGGUUCCGGCCGUAAAACAGCCUUAUUUUACCCAAGGUUGACCUCGGAUCAGGUAGGAAGACCCGCUGAACUUAAGC
rnacentral:misc_RNA from 1 species